UCGUACAUUUAUAUACGUCUUCAUCACAAUAGAGCCGGCGUCAACGACCCUGUUCUUCGUGAACUCCACUGCCCUGCUUCAGUAAUUCCUGAUUAGCUGGAUUGGAUGAGCUCCGUUUCUGAUUGACUGAACACACCUGAUCAGGACAAUCCUGGAGAAAAUGGAUCUGCUGGAGAAGUACAGCAGUGAGUGAAAGAGAGGAGAGUGAAGAAAGAGAAGGAAGGAGAAACAGUGAUGAGCUUCUAGACCUAAGCAGAGGACAUGAGGCAGAAGAGCAGAGCGCACGAGAGAGGAGGGUAACUUUUGACCAACUUUAGUCUGCUGGAAAGAAUUGCUGUUAAAAUCCUUAGAUGUCUGAUAAUAAAUAAAUGAAGUUUAUGUUUGAUAUAUUAAACAUGUUUGUUUUUGUUUUGUUAAUUUAAAUAAAGAUCUAAAUCAAA